rnacentral:rRNA from 1 species
AGCAGCCGCGGUAAUUCCAGCUCCAAUAGCGUAUAUUAAGGUUGUUGCAGUUAAAAAGCUCGUAGUUGAAUUUCGGGAUCAAUAUGUUGGUCGUGCCUUGGUACGUACUGGCGUCAUUGGUUCCUACCUUCUGAAGAACCUCGAUGUCAUUAAUUUGGUGUCUUGGGGAAUCAGGACUGUUACUUUGAAAAAAUUAGAGUGUUUAAAGCAAGCUCACGCUUGAAUACAUUAGCAUGGAAUAAUGAAAUAGGACGUUUGAUUCUAUUUUGUUGGUUUCUAGGAUCGACGUAAUGAUUAAUAGGGAUAGUUGGGGGCAUUAGUAUUCAAUUGUCAGAGGUGAAAUUCUUGGAUUUAUUGAAGACUAACUACUGCGAAAGCAUUUGCCAAGGAUGCUUUCAUUAAUCAAGAACGAAAGUUAGGGGAUCGAAGACGAUCAGAUACCGUCGUAGUCUUAACCAUAAACUAUGCCGACUAGGGAUCGGAUGAUGUUAAUUUUUUAAUGACUCAUUCGGCGCCUUACG